rnacentral:tRNA from 1 species
AAAGCAGUAGCUUAAUGGCAAGCACCGCAUUAGUAGUUUUGAAAUUACCGGCAGGUCAAUUAAAACUUACUUCUCUAUGGGAUGCGGAGUAUGUUGGUUCGAAUCCAACCUGCUUUA